rnacentral:rRNA from 1 species
UACAGAGGGUGCAAGCGUUAAUCGGAAUUACUGGGCGUAAAGCGUGCGUAGACGGUAGCGUAAGUCGGGUGUGAAAGCCUCCCGGGCUCAACCUGGGAACUGCAUUUGUGACUGCAUAGCUAGAGUACGGUAGAGGGGGAUGGAAUUCCACGUGUAGCAGUGAAAUGCGUAGAUAUGUGGAGGAACACCGAUGGCGAAGGCAAUCCCCUGGACCUGUACUGACGCUCAUGCACGAAAGGCGUGGGGAGCAACAGG